GUUCUUAUCAGAAGUCACAAUAGACCUUCCCAGUUUUGUUUGUGGCAGAGUUCAGAAGCCCUCCCCAUGGCUCACUCUACCUUCCCCCACUUCAGAUAUUAACCUGGACAUCAUGCCUUCCAAACUUUAAAUGAGCUGUGCGAUGUUUUAUUACAUUUCUCAUGUGGCUAAGCUUAGUGUGGCUUUUAAGUGUUCCUCGGUAUGCCGUGCUUACGCAAGUUAUUUUCUGCUGUGGAUUGUUGAUGCUUCAGCAGCAGAUAGAAUGAUGUGCCCUGAAUUCCAAUGAGGAGAAGGUUUUGGUUUAUUUUGGUUUGGUUUUUUUGAGUUCAGAAAUUUCUUUUAGCUAUUGACUUAUGUUUAGUAUGGAUCUCCACAAAAUGCUGAUGAAUGAAGAGAAACAGUAGAGCUCUGAAAAGGGAGCCCCAAGAGGAGCUGGGCAGGAGUCUACAGGACGGACUGCAGUGUAAGAGGUGGGAGCCAGUAGGAUGCCAUUCCAGCAGCUGUCGGCUAGAAAUAGUCAGGUAAUUCUCAGAGACACUAAGAAAAAAGGCAAAACACUGAGAAAACACUGAAAAAAAUAUGUACCAAAGGUACAGUAUGCCUUUUCGUAGGCAGCUAACAUUGCUUCAGGA
rnacentral:lncRNA from 1 species